rnacentral:snoRNA from 1 species
ACCUCUGCUGGGGUGUUUAAAGGUCAGUGCCAUAGAUUUUCAGCAUCUGACAUCUUGGCUUCCUGCUUGUUAAACCUGGUAUUUCCACUGAUACAGUA